rnacentral:misc_RNA from 1 species
UACGGAGGGUGCAAACGUUGUCCGGAAUUACUGGGCGUAAAGCGCAUGUAGGUGGUCUUGUAAGUGAACGAUUAAAGACCGACGCCUAACGUCGGGAAGGUUGUUCAUACUGCAAGGCUUGAGUAUGGCAGGGGUAAGCGGAACUUUAGGUGUAGGAGUGAAAUCCGUAGAUAUCUAAAGGAACACCAAUGGCGAAGGCAGCUUACUGGGCCAUUACUGACACUGAGAUGCGAAAGUGUGGGGAGCGAACGGG